UUCACUUUCACUGCCCAAGGGGAGAGGAAGCCUUUGUUAUGGUAAUGAACGGGGAGUCCUCUGCAGGAAUCCGAACUCCACCCGACGCUGGGCACCCCGGCCAUAGGAAAGGGCAGGGCGGGAGGCUGAGUUCCCUCCCUAGCUCUGUAGGUGGCAGUGCGCUUGCAUCCUUGAGGCGGGAUGCAGGCGUGGCCACCCUGGCGCCUUGCUCCAGCCGAGACCACAUCUACCCCCGUCCGCGCUCCAGGAGAAAACGGAUCUCUGCAACCAUCUCGUACGCUUUCCAGCCGCCCAUCCACCGGCCUCUCCUCCUUCAGUCAGCCUGCAAACCUAGAGGCCCGUUUGCAAAAAAAAAAAAAAAAAAAUACAGCGUGGAAAAGCCUCCACCGAGUUCGUACAAAGCCCUAGCUCUCUGAAUGGAUUCUUUGGUUUGUUUUUACUUUAACUGAUAUCAGCCUUUGGUCCUGCGCAAACCGCUCUGCUGCUGAGAGAUUUAAAGGAAAGGUUCUGCGCCUUUAAGAACUCAAUUCAGCUGCUCCACGGACUGCAGCACGCCAAGCCUCCCUGUCCUUCACCAUCUCCCGGAGCUUGCUCGGACUCCUGUCCAUUGAACCUUAAGGACUCCAGGUUUCCAUGGCCUAUAGCAGAAGACGUUAGGACAGAAUCCAAACCCUCAGUAACACGACAUGGAAAAUACAGAUUUGAGAAACAGAUGGUCUUACUUCCCAAUAAGGGGGAAAAAAAUGAUUUUACGCAGGUUGGAGUGGAACCAGCGAAGACUUGCCACUCAAUUCCAGCAGUAUGUGCCAGUCACAUACUUUACAGUGAAGCGCUUGAACCCUCCCUCCAACAACCCUACCAUGGAAUCUAUUAUUAACUGCACUUGAUAGAUUUGAAAACAGUCACGUGGGCUUUCUGGGGGCUCAGUGGUAAAGAAUCCACCUGCCAAUGCAGGAGACACGGGUUCAAUCCCUGGUCCAGGAAGAUCCCACAUGCCAUGGGACAGCUAAGCCAGUGUGCUACGGCUACUGAGCCUGAGCUCUGGAGCCAGCAAGCCACAGCUGCUGAGCCCGCAGGCCCUAGAGCCUGUGUGCCACGAGAAAAGCCACUGAGAUGAGAAGCCUGAGCACUGCAACUAUAGAGUAACCGCCCCGCUCGCUGCGACUAGAGAAAAGCCUGCUUGCAGCAACGAAGACCCAGCACAGCCAUAAACAAAUAAAUAAAAUUGUAUUUUUAAAAAAGAAAACCGAGUCAAGUAACUUUCCCAAGAUUGAGUCCCACUGUUUUGACUCCAGGGCCCACACUUCUAACCAUUAUUGUAGAUUAGAUUAUGAAACUUUUAUCUGUUGCUAUGAGGAUUCAACCAGAUGCUCUUUCCUCUAUUUAUUUAUUUUUUCCCUCUGUUUACAAUGCCCUCCAGCAACCCAGUGGUCUAACCAGCCCCUACUUACUCAGGGGCCCAGGGCUCAGGGUUAGUCUACUUUGGCUGCUGUAACAAAAUACCAUAGACUCAGUGGGCUGAACAGCAGAGAGCUAUGUUCUCACAGUUCUGGAGGCUGGAAGUUCAUGAUCAAGGUGCUGGCAGGGUUGGCUCUCCUUGGCUUCGGGAAAGCUGCCUUCCCACUAUGUCCUCACGUGGGCUUUCCUCUAUGUCCACAUUCCCCUGGAGCUUCACUGGUGUCUCAAACAGUAAAGAAUCUGCCUGCAAUGCAGGAAACUCAGGUUUGAUCCCUGGGUCAGGAAGAUCCCCUGGAGAAGGGAAUGGCAACCCACUCCAAUAUUCUUGCCUGGAAAAUCCCAUGGACAGAGGAGCCUGGCGGGCUACAGUCCAUGGGGUCACAAACAGCUGGACAGGACUGAGUGACUAUCACUUUCAUUUUCACUUUCUUAACAUCACCCUCAACUAAAAACACUUGCCUUCCCAAACUCCCUGGUGCCUGGGAGUUGGGUUCUCUGCUGCUUGCAGCCUAGAGGCAUUUCUAAGUGCUUUAUCUAAACAAUCACUACGGGAAACUGAAAGCCACUGCUUCUGGGGAUAGCAGAUAAGCACUAGGGAAGGAGAAAACAUUCACAAAGAAGUGAACCUGGAUGCCCACAAGUCAUCUUAACUGCGUGUUAAAAUCUCAGUUUUCAGGAAUCAGAAAAACUGUAAAAACCAGAAAUGUGGGACUUCCCUGGUGAUCCAUUGGUUAAGAUUUUGCCUUCCAGUGAAGGAUAUGUGGGUUCAACUCCUGGUUGAGAAGCUAAGAUCCAACAUUGCCUCAAGGCCAAAAAAACCAAAGCAUAAAACAAAAGCAAAGUUGUAACAAAUUCAAUAAAGACUUAAAAAAUGGCUGACU